UACGGGGGGGCAAGCGUUGUUCGGAAUUACUGGGCGUAAAGGGCUCGUAGGCGCCAACUAAGUCAGACGUGAAAUCCCCGGGCUCAACCCGGGAACUGCGUCCGAUACUGGCAGGCUUGAAUCCGGGAGAGGGAUGCGGAAUUCCAGGUGUAGCGGUGAAAUGCGUAGAUAUCUGGAGGAACACCGGUGGCGAAGGCGGCAUCCUGGACCGGCAUUGACGCUGAGGCGCGAAAGCCAGGGGAGCAAAGCGGG
rnacentral:rRNA from 1 species